rnacentral:lncRNA from 1 species
AUAGCUCAAUAACACCUAAAUAACAGAGUCACAUAGGAGAAGAAAUCGAACCUGAAAUUGCAAAUUUCCUUUAUAAUAAUUAUAGAAGAAUCAACAAAUACACCUUUGGAUUGCAAAAUCCGAGCGAGGUUCAGCAGCAAAUCAGUAGGACAACAGUAGAAAAUCGAAGUCGACGAACUUGAACUUCACCACCAGUCGAAUGACCUCAAU